CGAGUGGCGGACGGGUGGAGUAAUGUCUGGGAAACUGCCUGAUGGAGGGGGAUAACUACUGGAAACGGUAGCUAAUACCGCAUAACGUCGCAAGACCAAAGAGGGGGACCUUCGGGCCUCUUGCCAUCGGAUGUGCCCAGAUGGGAUUAGCUAGUAGGUGGGGUAACGGCUCACCUAGGCGACGAUCCCUAGCUGGUCUGAGAGGAUGACCAGCCACACUGGAACUGAGACACGGUCCAGACUCCUACGGGAGGCAGCAUG
rnacentral:rRNA from 1 species